rnacentral:rRNA from 1 species
UUUUUUGUACAAGUGGGUAAACCCUGAUCCAGCCAUCACGCGUGUAUAAUGAAGUCCUUCGGGUUAUAAUUUACUUUUGGCAGAGAAGAAAAGGUUACCACUAUUACGGGUUACUGCUGAUGGUAUCUGCAGAAUAAGCACCGGCUAACUACGUGCCAGCAGUCGCGGUAAUACGUAGGCUGCAAGCGUUAAUCGGGAUUACUGGGCGUAAAGCGUGUGUAGGAGGUUCGGAAAGAAAGAUGUAAAAUCCCAGGACACAACCUUAGAACUGCAUUUUUAACUGCCGAGAUAGAGUAUGUCAGAGGGGGGUAGAAUACCACGUGUAGCAGUGAAAUGCGUAGAUAUGUGGAGGAAUACCGAUGGCGAAGGCAGAACCCUGGGAUAAUACUGACGCUCAGACAAGAAAGCGUGAGGAGCAAACAGG